rnacentral:rRNA from 1 species
UCUGUCCUCAACUUGGGAAUAACGGUUGGAAACGACCGCUAAUACCGAAUGUGGUAUGUUUAUGCAUCUAAAACAUAUUAAAGAAGGGGAUCUUCGGACCUUUCGGUUGAGGGAGAGUCUAUGGGAUAUCAGCUUGUUGGUGGGGUAAUGGCCUACCAAGGCUUUGAC